CCUCUUAAUUAUGCAAGUAGGAAAUCCUGAUUUGUUUUUAUACUUGGGGAGUUGUUAGAGCCAUGAAAACAGGCUGAUUAGCAACACUUAGACUAUAGUUGAUUGCUGUGCUAAGUAGGAGAAAAUGUCACUUGAUUAAUAGGUUUUGGAAGCAGAAAAGUAACGUGUGUGAAAUUUCUUUUGCAGCUUAAUUGUAGCCAGCAAGUUUCAUCCCACUCCUUUAUUACUUUCUUUACUGGAAUUUGUUGCUCCUUCAAGGCCUUUUGUUGUCUACUGCCAGUAUAAAGAGCCAUUAUUAGAAUGUUACACAAAGCUGAGGGAACGAGGCGGUGUUAUUAACCUAAAGCUGUCUGAAACCUGGCUACGAAACUACCAGGUCUUACCGGAUCGAAGCCAUCCAAAGCUGACGAUGAGUGGAGGUGGAGGGUACCUUCUAUCUGGUACAACUGUUGUCUUGGAUAAGGGCAAAUCUGAUUCCAGUAAUUUAGAAGCGCUGAAGAUGGAAGAGCCGUCAACUAAAAGAUGCAAAGUUCAAGACCUUCCUUGUUAACAUUUGAAGAAUUGCUUUGAUUUUUAGAUCUCAGGAGUCUUACUGUUAGUAAAACAACAAGUAUACUUUCUGUGCUCUUGACAGCACAGAAAUUGUACCUGUCACACACCUGUCAGCAAAAAGCAGCAGAACUGUGUGGUAGGAAGGAUUGUCUCACUCUGAACCAGUUUCCAUGAUCAGAAUAAGAAAAACCCUUGGAAGCAAAAAUCCCCCUGAAAACGCACUGACUUCAGAAAGAAGAGGAAGCAUCAUUCUGAUUGCUUGUUGCCAGAAGUGGAUAUGACGAAGGCAUCUUUUUAAAGGUCGAGCCCAAAUCAAGACAUCUAACUUAGCUUCCCGUUCUCUCAGAGCAGCAUCAGGGUGAAACAUCCUACGUGGUGAUCUGCUCCUUAUUUGGACACCGAACCCAGCCACGUUUAGUAACGUGAGGAAGUGGAAUGAACUGCAAAAAUGCUACACUUUUCUUUCCAGAAGAACAAUAGAGAAUACUAAUACCAGAACUUUACAGCAUGACCCAUGUUUUCCUGAAAUCCAGAAGAGAAAGUGCAUGUUCAUAAAUUAAAAUACCAAAUAUUUAAACAGAA